rnacentral:rRNA from 1 species
GAUGAACGCUGGCGGCGUGCUUAACACAUGCAAGUCGAACGGAAAGGCUCCUGCUUGUAGGGGUACUCGAGUGGCGAACGGGUGAGUAACACGUGGGUGAUCUGCCCUGCACUUCGGGAUAAGCCUGGGAAACUGGGUCUAAUACCGGAUAGGACGAUGGUUUGGAUGCCAUUGUGGAAAGUUUUUUCGGUGUGGGAUGAGCUAGCGGCCUAUCAGCUUGUUGGUGGGGUAAUGGCCUACCAAGGCGUCGACGGGUAGCCGGCCUGGGAGGGUGUACGGCCACAUUGGGACUGAGGUACGGCCCAGACUCCUACGGGAGGCAGCAGUGGGGAAUAUUGCACAAUGGGCGCAAGCCAGAUGCAGCGACGCCGCGUGGGGGAUGACGGCCUUCGGGUUGUAAACUCCUUUCGCUAGGGACGAAGCGCAAGUGACGGUACCUGGAGAAGAAGCACCGGCUAACUACGUG